rnacentral:lncRNA from 1 species
UAGGAAAACCCCACUGACACACAGGGAAGGAUGGAGACACAGUCCAGCAAGGAUUCAAGACUGCAUGCUGCCCAGGCCGGAGUCCAUUUUGACUUCUUCCAAAGCAAGGCUUAGUCAUCUGUGAGAGUUUCCAGCACUCUGUCCCUCCAGCAACUUACUAUGGUGGUCCGGACAUCUAAUGCUCCACGGCUCCUGCUUCAUAGCAACCCCACCCAAACCUGCUUUCUUUAACUAAAUUAGAAGUCACCGGAGGAAAUCUUCUUGGCUCUGGUGAAGGCCUUGGCCUACCUGUACAUCUGUCCUAUCUAUCCAUCUGUCCUACACAUCCUGGAUCCGGAACAGCCACUCCUGCCUUCGUUGGGAUCUGUAACACACCAACCAUAUUCAAUGUGUUCCACUGAGUCACCUGCUCUGCGGUUCAAACACCUACCACACCAGACUUUUUUUUUUUUAAGGGGGAGAGGCAGGUUUCUCCUAGAGAGAGCUGUCUUU